rnacentral:lncRNA from 1 species
CACAAGUGGUAUACAAGCCUAUUAAAAUGAACAAUACUAAACCUAUGGGGGAGGAGGGUGAAGAGUGGACUAAGGUGAGUGAAAACUUGAGGGACACAUGCAAAGGGAUUAUUCAUGAAGGAACGUCUACAUAGGUUCAAUGUGAGAAUGGUUUUGAGCCACUAAGGAUACUGAAUGAUCCCUUAGUGCUUCAAGACAUGGUCCCAUUAUUCUCUUUGGGAAUGUAAGGGGGCUCAAUAA